rnacentral:rRNA from 1 species
AGAGUUUGAUCAUGGCUCAGAUUGAACGCUGGCGGCAUGCCUUACACAUGCAAGUCGAGCGGCAGCGCGGGGGCAACCCUGGCGGCGAGCGGCGAACGGGUGAGUAAUGCAUCGGAACGUGUCCUCUUGUGGGGGAUAACCAGUCGAAAGACUGGCUAAUACCGCAUGAGAUCGAGAGAUGAAAGCAGGGGACCGCAAGGCCUUGCGCGAGAGGAGCGGCCGAUGCCGGAUUAGCUAGUUGGUGGGGUAAAAGCCUACCAAGGCGACGAUCCGUAGCUGGUAUGAGAGUACGACCAGCCACACUGGGACUGAGACACGGCCCAGACUCCUACGGGAGGCAGCAGUGGGGAAUUUUGGACAAUGGGGGCAACCCUGAUCCAGCCAUGCCGCGUGUGUGAAGAAGGCCUUCGGGUUGUAAAGCACUUUCGGACGGAACGAAAUCGCGCGGGUGAACAUCCCGCGUGGAUGACGGUACCGUAAGAAGAAGCACCGGCUAACUACGUGCCAGCAGCCGCGGUAAUACGUAGGGUGCGAGCGUUAAUCGGAAUUACUGGGCGUAAAGUGUGCGCAGGCGGCCGCGCAAGUCGAGUGUGAAAGCCCCGAGCUUAACUUGGGAAUUGCGCUCGAAACUACGUGGCUGGAGUGUGGCAGAGGAAGGUGGAAUUCCAGGUAGCGGUGAAAUGCGUAGAGAUCUGGAGGAACACCGAUGGCGAAGGCAGCCUUCUGGGCCAACACUGACGCUCAUGCACGAAAGCGUGGGGAGCAAACAGGAUUAGAUACCCUAGUAGUCC